rnacentral:tRNA from 2 species
GAUCUGUUAGCUCAGCUGGGAGAGCACCACCUUGACAGGGUGGGGGUCGGGGGUUCGAGCCCCUCACAGGUCACUA